rnacentral:rRNA from 1 species
CUUUGAAGUGUGGACGCCAGUCUGCAUGGAGCCGACCUUGAAAUACCACCCUUUAAUGUUUGAUGUUCUAACGUGGACCCGUGAUCCGGGUUGCGGACAGUGUCUGGUGGGUAGUUUGACUGGGGCGGUCUCCUCCUAAAGAGUAACGGAGGAGCACGAAGGUUGGCUAAUCCUGGUCGGACAUCAGGAGGUUAGUGCAAUGGCAUAAGCCAGCUUGACUGCGAGCGUGACGGCGCGAGCAGGUGCGAAAGCAGGUCAUAGUGAUCCGGUGGUUCUGAAUGGAAGGGCCAUCGCUCAACGGAUAAAAGGUACUCCGGGGAUAACAGGCUGAUACCGCCCAAGAGUUCAUAUCGACGGCGGUGUUUGGCACCUCGAUGUCGGCUCAUCACAUCCUGGGGCUGAAGUAGGUCCCAAGGGUAUGGCUGUUCGCCAUUUAAAGUGGUACGCGAGCUGGGUUUAGAACGUCGUGAGACAGUUCGGUCCCUAUCUGCCGUGGGCGCUGGAGAACUGAGGGGGGCUGCUCCUAGUACGAGAGGACCGGAGUGGACGCAUCACUGGUGUUCGGGUUGUCAUGCCAAUGGCACUGCCCGGUAGCUAAAUGCGGAAGAGAUAAGUGCUGAAAGCAUCUAAGCACGAAACUUGCC